rnacentral:rRNA from 1 species
UACGUAGGGGGGCAAGCGUUGUCCGGAAUCAUUGGGCGUAAAGCGCGUGUAGGCGGCCCGAUAAGUCCGCUGUGAAAGUCCAGGGCUCAACCCUGGAAUGCCGGUGGAUACUGUCGGGCUCGAGUCCGGAAGAGGCGAGUGGAAUUCCUGGUGGUAGGCGGUGAAAUGGCGCAGAUAUCAGGAGGAACACCAAUGGCGAAGGCAGCUCGCUGGGACGGUACUGACGCUGAGGCGCGAAAGCCAGGGGAGCAAACGGG